GAUGAACGCUGGCGGCGUGCCUAAUACAUGCAAGUCGAGCGAACAGACGAGGAGCUUGCUCCUCUGACGUUAGCGGCGGACGGGUGAGUAACACGUGGAUAACCUACCUAUAAGACUGGGAUAACUUCGGGAAACCGGAGCUAAUACCGGAUAAUAUAUUGAACCGCAUGGUUCAAUAGUGAAAGACGGUUUUGCUGUCACUUAUAGAUGGAUCCGCGCCGCAUUAGCUAGUUGGUAAGGUAACGGCUUACCAAGGCAACGAUGCGUAGCCGACCUGAGAGGGUGAUCGGCCACACUGGAACUGAGACACGGUCCAGACUCCUACGGGAGGCAGCAGUAGGGAAUAUUCCGCAAUGGGCGCAAGCCUGAAGGAGCAACGCCGCGUGAGUGAUGAAGGUCUUCGGAUCGUAAAACUCUGUUAUUAGGGAAGAACAAAUGUGUAAGUAACUAUGCACGUAUUGACGGUACCUAAUCAGAAAGCCACGGCUAACUACGUG
rnacentral:rRNA from 1 species